rnacentral:rRNA from 1 species
CCCCAUCAGUGUCUUAGCUAACGCGUUAAGUAUCCCGCCUGGGGAGUACGGUCGCAAGAUUAAAACUCAAAGGAAUAGACGGGGACCCACACAAGCGGUGGAGCAUCUGGUUUAAUUCGACGAUAAGCGAGGAACCUUACCAAGACUUGACAUCCCGAGAAGAUUCCCGAAAGGGAAUUGUGCCGUUAGGAACUCGGUGACAGGUGCUGCAUGGUUGUCGUCAGCUCGUGCCUUGAGGUGUUCGGUUAAGUCCGUAAACGAGCGCAACCCUUGUCAUAAGUUGCAUUUUUCUUAUGAGACUGCCGGUUUUAAAUCGGAGGAAGGUAAGGAUGACGUCAAAUCAGCAUGGCCCUUAUGUCUUGGGCUACACAGGUGCUACAAUGGCCAGUACAAAAGGCAGCCAAGGGGCAACCCGGAGCUAAUCCCUAAAACUGGUCCAAGUUCGGAUUGAGGGCUGCAACUCGCCCUCAUGAAGCUGGAAUCGCUAGUAAACGUGUAUCAGCAAUGGCACGUUGAAUCCGUUCCUGGGUCUUGUACUCACCGCCCGUCAAGUCACGAAAGAUGGGGGUGCCCGAAGUUCCCUUAGCUAAUUGAGCGGGGACCUAAGGCAAAACCAUUGAUUGGGACUAAGUCGUAACAAGGUAUCCGUAGGAGAACCUGCGGAUGGAUCACCUCCUUUCUAGGAG